rnacentral:rRNA from 1 species
UACGUAGGUGACAAGCGUUGUCCGGAUUUACUGGGCGUAAAGAGCGCGCAGGCGGUCGUUCAAGUCGAGUGUGAAAGCCCCCGGCUCAACUGGGGAGGGUCAUUCGAUACUGAUCGACUCGAAGGCAGGAGAGGGUAGUGGAAUUCCCGGUGUAGUGGUGAAAUGCGUAGAUAUCGGGAGGAACACCAGUGGCGAAGGCGACUACCUGGCCUGCUCUUGACGCUGAGGCGCGAAAGCUAGGGGAGCAAACGGG